rnacentral:rRNA from 1 species
UACGGAGGGUGCAAGCGUUGUCCGGAAUCACUGGGCGUAAAGGGCGCGUAGGCGGCUUUGUGCGUCACACGUGAAAGCCCCUGGCUUAACCAGGGAGGGUCGUGUGAAACGGCGAAGCUGGAGGCAGAGAGAGGCUGGUGGAAUUCCCGGAGUAGUGGUGAAAUGCGUAGAUAUCGGGAGGAACACCGGUGGCGAAGGCGGCCAGCUGGCUCUGACCUGACGCUGAGGCGCGAAGGCGUGGGGAGCGAACGGG